CGCGCCUGACCGGGUGGCACAUCGAGGGACGGCUGCGGGAGCUCGGCCGCCCCGGCACGCCCGUCCCGGCCUCUGAGUGCCUGGCUGACCUCUUCCAGGGGCUGGAGAUUUACAACCGCGUGGUGCAAGAGCUGCUGGAGGAGCUGGGCCCCGAGGUGAAGGGCCCUGGCGCCUUCACGGUGGGUGGGGUGCUGCGGCUGCUGGCGGCCGAGCGGGGCCGGGCCGUGGCCCAGAGGCUCCGGCCCCUCCUGUGGCCCCAGAGUGGGACCAUCAGGGAUGGACACAUCUGCUGGGAGGACGUGGUGGUGCCACGGCCACCGGGGCACGAUGCAGUGGAGGUGGACACGGAACCUUCCGGAGCAGAGGUGCCAGCAGUGCUGGCAGCUGAGCUGCAGGCAGUGUGCCAGGAGGAUGAGGAGCUGAUGGGACACGUUUUUGGGGCGCUGGUGGCCUCAGCUGACAGCCUGUGGCAACCAGUGCUGUCAGAGAGCCCCGAGCCCCCGGGGCUGCGGCCGGGCAGUGCAGGUGGCUGGAAGGCCGUGCGCUGGCUGGACGCCGCCCGCGGCCCCGUGGCUGCCACGCUGAGCGCCCGGUACCGCCUGCUGCUCUGGGAGGCCGUGGGCACUGUGCUGGCAGACAGCCCGGGCGCCCCUCCUGCCACCCCCAGUGCCACCGUCACGGCGGCGCGGGAGCUGAGCCGUGCGCUCGCUGUUGCCCGUGUGCCCGCUGAGUGCCAGGAGGAGCUGGGGGGGCUCUGCCUGCGCCUGCUGUGCCGCAGCGUCCUCUGCAGCUGGGACACGGAUUUUACCCGUGCUCUGGGCUCAGGGCUCUCAGACAAGUGCUUGGAGGCGCCAGGGGGUUCCGUGGGGCCAGGGUGCAGCCGCACGGCCCAGCAGCUCCGGUGCCUCUUCCCGGCCCUGGCACUGGCCCUGCGCUGCCUGCGCCUGCUGCCCGCCCGCCCGCACGGUGAGAGGGGUCUGGGGUGGGGGCGUGUGGGUCUGGAGAUCCUCUCGGUGCUGACCCCCACCCGCA
rnacentral:lncRNA from 1 species